rnacentral:misc_RNA from 1 species
AAGUUUGACUGCUUUGGCUUGCGGACGUGCGUUCACCGUUCGUGCUGAGCCUCCUCCUCCCAAUCGAUAGCGACAUCGUUGCCGUUGUCAAUUCGAACGUAAACCGUUCGCGCCACGAACGUAAAUCCGUUUCCAGCCGAUUCCUAGCGAUCCACGGCCGACCCGAGAGACCGAGAAAACGCGCGAUCAGGACGUCGAAACGACCACCACAACAACAACAAAAACAACAAUGGAAGAAGACCAAAAUGGCGUCGUCGUCGGGCGGCCGCCGAACAGCGAUACCUGCGGAAUGAUCGUCAACCACGGCGGCGGGGACGACCGGACGACGGCGGCGGCGGCGGCUGCGGCUGCGGCACCGCCUACACCAGCGCUCCCGGCGGCAGCGGCCACAGCUUUCGGAGCCCCGGCGCGCCCAGCGCCGCGGUACGGCGCCCAUCACAACUGCAACAAUAACAAUUCGGUCAUCAAAGGGCAGCAGCACCAGUUAAAGGGUCCUGGUAAUCUAGAUCACAGAAAUAGACGUACGCGUCGCGGUAAACGUAAAAGCAGAAAGCAAACACCAUACACAAAGGAUGGGAUGUUGUUUCGAGACAAAGCUGUGGCUCCAAAUAACACUAAUCAGUUUUUAAUGGAUGAUCAUAAUGAUGGCCCAGAUAUAGAUAAAAAAUUAUUUGCAAGAUAUAAUAAUGAAAAUGGACGUACAAGAAAUUCAAGUUAUACUAGUCUCGAAUCUGAGGGUGAACAGAUGUAUUCUUCAUCGGACGAUGAUGGCACUUCAAUACAAAAGGAAUUUAUCGAAUCCUAUAGACUUGUUCAAGAAGAAGAAUUGGCUGGGUUGACUCAAAACGAACUUGUUCAACGAGUGAUUGAGCUCGAAGAAAAAGUUCAAUUGCUUGAGGCCAAUAAAAGGUAUAAAAAAAAUCCCGAUACAUAUUUAAAUGGCAUAGACGAUGAAGAAAAUUCUAUUGAUCUAGAAGAAUAUAAACUAAUGCAAAUACAGAAUAGAGAAUUGACAUCACAAAACAAAGUACUGCAAGCUGAAGUCGAAACUCUUAAACAAAAACAAACCAAGAUGAAUAAUGAUUCAGAUAGCUCUGUAGAUAGUGGAAGUUCAUCAGACUCCAGUAGCUCUUCUAGUUCAUCUGAUGGACAAGAAAUAGAAAUGAAGUUUUUACUACGGAGUAGUGGAAGAGAUGAUUGAUCAGUCAAGUACUAAAAUAUUAAACAUCUGCCGAAAAAUGACAGCAACUGGUGUAGCAUUGACGUCAGAAACAAAAUGUUUGCAAAAUAAACAUAGUAGGUCUAUGAUGUUGGCUAAUGUGUCAUAGAGCCAAAAAAAUGAAUUGCUGAUUCUGAAAUGAUUCUAAAGGUCAGAGCGUGGUGUCAAGUGUAUCCAGGAAUUUACUACUAUCUACAGAUAAAUACAUUUUAUUAAUGGAUAAUAAUUAUUUCAAAACAGAAAAUACGCCUGGAUUGAAGAUAAAAUAUGAAGUUUUAAAUUCCAACAGCUAGUACUCAAGAUAAAAGGUUAAAAUUAAUGAUAAAAUCUAAAUUAAAACAUUUGAAAAUUGUUUAAAUUUUAUACUUAGUCAUAUUGUUUAUUAUAUUAUACUUAUAUUAGUAUUAUG